rnacentral:lncRNA from 1 species
CUGUGUAGUAUGUAAUGACAUAUUUUAUGUUUUUUUAGUUGCUCUGUGAAGUGUGUAAUGACAUAUUUUAUGUUUUUUUGAGUUACCCUGUGUAGUGUGUAAUGACAUAUUUUAUGUUUUUUUGAGCUGCUCUGUGUAGUGUGUAAUGACAUAUUUUAUGUUUUUUUCAGCUCCUCUGAGCAGUGUGUAAUGACAUAUUUUAUGGUUUUUUUAGCUGCUCUGUGUAGUGUAAUGACAUAUUUUAUGUUUUUUUGAGUUGCCCUGUGUAGUGUGUAAUGACAUAUUUUAUGUUGUUUUGAGGUGCUCUGUGUAGUGUGUAAUGACAUAUGUUAUGUUGUUUUGAGGUGCUGUGUAGUGUGUAAUGACAUAUUUUAUGUUUUUUUGAGUUGCUCUGUGUAGUGUGUAAUGACAUAUUUUUAUGUUUUUUUGAGUUGCUCUGUGUAGUGUGUAAUGACAUAUUUUAUGUUUUUUUGAGCUGCUCUGUGUAGUGUGUAAUGACAUAUUUUAUGGUUUUUUUAGGUGCUCUGUGUAGUGUGUAAUGACAUAUUUUAUGUUUUUUUUUAGUUGCUCUGUGUAGUGUGUAAUGACAUAUUUUAUGUUUUUUUGAGCUGCUCUGUGUAGUGUGUAAUGACAUAUUUUAUGUUUUUUUGAGUUGCUCUGUGUAGUGUGUAAUGACAUAUUUUAUGUUUUUGUUAGCUGCUCUGUGUAGUGUGUAAUGACAUAUUUUAUGUUUUUUUAGUUUCUCUGUGUAGUGUGUAAUGACAUAUUUUAUGUUUUUUUUUGCUCUGUGUAGUGUGUAAUGACAUAUUUUAUGUUUUUUUUGAGCUGCUCUGUGUAGUGUGUAAUGACAUAUUUUAUGUUUUUUUUAGCUGCUCUGUGUAGUGUGUAAUGACAUAUUUUAUGUUUUUUUGAGUUGCUCUGUGUAGUGUGUAAUGACAUAUUUUAUGUUUUUUUGAGCUGCUGUGUUUUAGAGAUUGUUGUUUGACAUAUUUAUGUUUUUUUUAGCUGCUCUGUUGUGUGUUUAUUCAUUACGUUUUUUGAUUGAGUUAAGUCUGCCAAUUGAUAUUUAUCGUAUGUUUUUUCUUUGUUGUGAUGUUAUGCUAUUGUUUCAGAAAAAGGGAGAAGGUUUGGAUCCAUUAAAACGUUUAAUCCCGCUGCGAAUGUUUGCACCUGUCCUAAGUCAGGAAUCUGAUGUACAGUAGUUGUCGUUUGUUUAAGUAAUAUAUACGUGUUUCUCGUUUCUCGUUUUGUUUAUAUAGAUUAGACCGUUGGUUUUCCCGUUGAAUGGUUUUACACUAGUAAUUUUGGGGGCCCUUUAUAGCUUGUUGUUCGGUGUGAGCCAAGCUCCGUGUUGAAGGCCGUACUUUAACCUAUAAUGGUUUACUUUUUAAAUUGUUAUUUGUAUGGAGAGUUGUUUCAUUGGCACUCACACCACAUCUUCCUAUAUCUAAUGACAUAUUUUAUGUUUUUUUUAGUUGCUCUGUGUAGUGUGUUAUGACAUAUUUUAUGUUUUUUGGUUGCUCUGUGUAGUGUGUAAUGAAUUUAUGUUUUUUGAGUUGCUCGUGUAGUGUGUAAUGACAUAUUUUGUUUUUUUGAGUUGCUCUGUGUAGUGUGUAAUGACAUAUUUUAUUGUGUUUUAUUUUUUUUGAGUUGCUCUGUGUAGUGUGUAAUGACAUAUUUUGUUUUUUUGAGUUGCUCUGUGUAGUGUGUAAUGACAUAUUUUAUGGGUUUUUUUUAGUUUCUCUGUGUAGUGUGUAAUGACAUAUUUUAUGUUUUAUUGUGUUGCUUUGUGUAGUGUGUAAUGACAUAUUUUAUGUUUUUUUGAGCUGCUCUGUGUAGUGUGUAAUGACAUAAUUUGUUUUUUUGAGCUGCUCUGUGUAGUGUGUAAUGACAUAGUUUAUAUUUUUUUGAGUUGCUCUGUGUAGUGUGUAAUGACAUAUUUUAUGUUUUUUGAGUUGCUCUGUGUAGUGUGUAAUGACAUAUUUUAUGUUUUUUUAGUUGCUCUGUGUAGUGUGUAAUGACAUAUUUUAUGUUUUUUUAGUUGCUCUGUGUAGUGUGUAAUGACAUAUUUAUGUUUUUUUUAGUUGCUCUGUGUAGUGUGUAAUGACAUAUUUUAUGUUUUUUUUGAGUUGCUCUGUGUAGUGUGUAAUGACAUAUUUUAUGUUUUUUUGUAUUGCUUUGUGUAGUGUGUAAUGACAUAUUUUAUGUUUUUUUGUGUUGCUUUGUGUAAUGUGUAAUGACAUAUUUUAUGUUUUUUUAGCUGCUCUGUGUAGUGUGUAAUGACACAUUUUAUGUUUUUUCAGUUGCUCUGUGUAGUGUGUAAUGACAUAUUUUGUUUUUUUGAGUUGCUCUGUGUAGUGUGUAAUGACAUAUUUUAUGUUUUUUUUAGCUGCUCUGUGUAGUGUGUAAUUACAUAUUUUAUGUUUUUUUGUGUUGCUCUGUGUAGUGUGUAAUGACAUCUUUUAUGUUUUUUUGAGCUGCUCUGUGUAGCGUGUAAUGACAUAUUUUAUGGUUUUUUGAGCUGCUCUGUGUAGUGCGUAAUGACAUAUUUUAUGUUUUUUUAGCUGCUCUGUGUAGUGUGUAAUGACAUAAUUUAUGUUUUUUUGAGCUGCUCUGUGUAGUGUGUAAUGACAUAUUUUAAGUUUUUUUUAGUUGCUCUGUGUAGUGUGUAAUGACAUAUUUUAUGGGUUUUUUUCAGCUGCUCUGUGUAGUGUGUAAUGACAUAUUUUAUGUUUUUUUUAGUUGCUCUGUGUAGUGUGUAAUGACAUAUUUUAUGUUUUUUUUAGUUGCUCUGUGUAGUGUGUAAUGACAUAUUUUAUGUUUUUUUCAGUUGCUCUGUGUAGUGUGUGUAUUGACAUAUUUUAUGUUUUUUUUAGCUGCUCUGUGUAGUGUGUAAUGACAUAUUUUAUGUUUUUUUUUAAGUUGCUCUGUGUAGUGUGUAAUGACAUAUUUUAUGUUUUUUUGAGUUGCUCUGUGUAGUGUGUAAUGACAUAUUUUAUGUUUUUUUAGUUGCUCUGUGUAGUGUGUAAUGACAUAUUUUAUGUUUUUUAGUUGCUCUGUGUAGUGUGUAAUGACCUAUUUUAUGUUUUUUUUAGUUGCUCUGUGUAGUGUGUAAUGUAAUGACAUAUUUUAUGUUUUUUUUAGUUGCUCUGUGUAGUGUGUAAUGACAUAUUUUAUGUUUUUUUGAGUUGCUCUGUGUAGUGUGUAAUGACAUAUUUUAUGUUUUUUGAGUUGCUCUGUGUAGUGUGUAAUGACAUUUUAUGUUUUUUUGAGUUGCUCUGUGUAGUGUGUAAUGACAUAUUUUAUGUUUUUUUUAGUUGCUUUGUGUAGUGUGUAAUGACAUUUUAUGUUUUUUUGAGUUGCUCUGUGUAGUGUGUAAUGACAUAUUUUAUGUUUUUUUUAGCUGCUCUGUGUAGUGUGUAAUGACAUAUUUUAUGUUUUUUUAGCUGCUCUGUGUAGUGUGUAAUGACAUAUUUU